rnacentral:rRNA from 1 species
AUUCCUACGGGAGGCAGCAGUGGGGAAUUUUGGACAAUGGACGCAAGUCUGAUCCAGCCAUUCCGCGUGCAGGACGAAGGCCUUCGGGUUUAAACUGCUUUUGUACAGAACGAAAAAGUCUCCAUUAAUACUGGGGGUUCAUGACGGUACUGUAAGAAUAAGCACCGGCUAACUACGUGCCAGCAGCCGCGGUAAUAAU